rnacentral:rRNA from 1 species
GAGUUUGAUCAUGGCUCAGAUUGAACGCUGGCGGCAGGCCUAACACAUGCAAGUCGAACGGUAACAGGAAACAGCUUGCUGUUUCGCUGACGAGUGGCGGACGGGUGAGUAAUGUCUGGGAAACUGCCUGAUGGAGGGGGAUAACUACUGGAAACGGUAGCUAAUACCGCAUAACGUCGCAAGACCAAAGAGGGGGACCUUCGGGCCUCUUGCCAUCGGAUGUGCCCAGAUGGGAUUAGCUAGUAGGUGGGUAACGGCUCACCUAGGCGACGAUCCCUAGCUGGUCUGAGAGGAUGACCAGCCACACUGGAACUGAGACACGGUCCAGACUCCUACGGGAGGCAGCAGUGGGGAAUAUUGCACAAUGGGCGCAAGCCUGAUGCAGCCAUGCCGCGUGUAUGAAGAAGGCCUUCGG